rnacentral:lncRNA from 1 species
UUGGGCCUGCUGCUAUUGGACCUAAAUCAGUCUGCUAUUAGACUGCUGCUGGUGGCUGCUGCAGCUUGGAUCGGAUCCAGGUCGGGUCGGGUCGGAUCCGGUUCGGGUCACCAGAAUAUAUAUAUAUAUAUAUUUUUUAAAAUUUUUUUCUGUUUUCUUCCUCUUUUUCUUUCUAUUUUUCUUUUUCUUUUUCUUCUUCGGGCGAGCCCUAUCUUGCGCCGCCGCUACCUGUGAUGCCGCUGCCUACUGUUGCCGUCGACUACGCCUUGCUGCCCGACGGAUGACGGCCACGGUGCUGCACUUCCUCUUCUCCUUCUUCUCUUCUUUUUCUUUUGGUUGCUGUGUUCUUUUUGUUGAUUAUUGCUUUUUCAUUUUUUCUUUGCUUGUAGCCUUGUUUGAUUGUGUUGGGACGGUAGUGGCGGUGCUGUCGUGGUGGUGGAGACGGUGGCGCGCGGUGGAGCUGCUGUUUUCCUUGUGUUUUGCUGCCUUUUUUUUCAAUUUUUCUCUGCUGUUUUUUUUUGGUUUUUUUGGCUGCCCCCCUCUCUCUCUUUUGAUUUUCCUUUUUAAUCUCUUCAUUUUUUGUCCUCUUUCUUCUUGUCUUCAGGUGGCAGAAGAGGGCAUCAUGGCCUAGGUCAUCUGCUGGAGUAGAUGGAGGUGAGGGGAAGCACGCUCGGCUGCUGAUUGGGGGGUCUGACAUGCCUAGAAGGACCAAAAUGUAGAAGACGCAAAAUAUUUGGGGUAAAAAUGUAAUUUUAGGAAAAUAUGGGGCUAAAAUGUAAUUUUCAAAAAGUUUAGAGGUCAAAGUGUAAUUUUGAAAAAGAUUAGAUGUUGAAAUGUAAUUUUAGAAAAGUUUGGGGUCAAAAUGUAAAUUUCAAAAAAUACAAGGGUUAAAAUGUAAUUUUUAUUUUUUUGCAUUUUUCAAAAUUUUAUUAUUACUACUUUAUUAAUAUUUAAAACAAAAAUUAAAAAUGAACUAAAACAAACCCAAAAUUUAAUCCUAAUGAGCCCAAUCAUCGGGCCCAUAUGA